GAGUUUGAUCGUGGCUCAGAUUGAACGCUGGCGGCAUGCCUUACACAUGCAAGUCGAACGGCAGCACGGGAGCUUGCUCCUGGUGGCGAGUGGCGAACGGGUGAGUAAUGCAUCGGAACGUAUCCUGGAGUGGGGGAUAACGUAGCGAAAGUUACGCUAAUACCGCAUAUUCUGUGAGCAGGAAAGCGGGGGACCUUCGGGCCUCGCGCUCUUGGAGCGGCCGAUGUCGGAUUAGCUAGUUGGUGAGGUAAAGGCUCACCAAGGCGACGAUCCGUAGCAGGCCUGAGAGGAUGAUCUGCCACACUGGAACUGAGACACGGUCCAGACUCCUACGGGAGGCAGCAGUGGGGAAUUUUGGACAAUGGGGGCAACCCUGAUCCAGCCAUGCCGCGUGAGUGAAGAAGGCCUUCGG
rnacentral:rRNA from 1 species